UCAUUCAUAGCGCCUCUCCGUAACUGAACCCAUGGGGGUGCGCCGUGGGCGGCGGCGCGUGCAAGUGGCAUCGCGUGGGCGGCGGGGACUUCUACGUGCAGUGACGGCGACUGCGGCAGCGGCACACGACCCCUCUCUCUCACCAGCGGGGCCUGCAUCCCAUCUCCAUGGCCGGCAGCGACGCGCGGCCCUGUCCCUCGCCGGGGCGGGGUUCCCUCCCUAGCUGCUUUGAUGUCCUCGCACAAGGGGGGCGGCGCGUGCGGGUGCUGCGGAGCAGGCAUGAGCGCUCGGCCAGCUCGCACGGCGCCUCCAAUGCGAUGCGGUGCGGUGCCGGGAGGAGUAUGUGCGGGUGCCAUCCCAGAUCCCCAAUGUGGAGCGCAGCGUAGUAGCCAGCCGUGGCGGAGAGUGGCUUCAUCACGGCAAGUUGGCCAACUGCUGUGAACCUAUCUGAUGCUGCAACAAAGCUUUAGAAUUUGGUGUCAAGCACAGCAAAAACUGCACAGGAUGCAAAAGCUGUCUUUCAGAUAUUUGGAGAAUCAGGAGAUGGAGAAGUUCAAGCAGUGAGUGGAAAGAGGGAAAAGAAGAGGCGAAGAGUGAUCUGCAGCAGGGGUUUCUCUACUUUAGUGAUCUGCAGCAGGGGUUUCUCUACUUUCUUUUGUCCCUGGUUAGUGUUCAUUGUUCUACUGAGUAUGCAUUGUUUGUGAUACUUGUGAUGUAGCCUAAGAAACCAGCUUGUAUUGUCUCAACUGGAUGUAACUCGAAGUAUUUUUGAACUGCUGUUUCUGCUUUUAUUUAUAUGAGACUUGUGGUUGCUGGGGCCAUUUUGGGAACUGUUAUAGCUGUUGGGGGCUUAACAUGUGGUCUGUAAACUGUGAUGGCUAUGCUAAAGGAGUACCAAUUGCUUGGCCAACAAAGUUUGUAUGUUAUAGCUAGCUUUUUGAAUAUGUGAUGUUACUACUA